GCCUGGCUGGCUCAGUCGGUAGAGUGUGUGACUCUUGAUCUUGGGGUUGUGAGUUCAAGUUCCAUGUUGGGUA
rnacentral:tRNA from 1 species